rnacentral:lncRNA from 1 species
GGGGUGACAAAGCAGAGUGGUGAUCAGAGGUGUCCUUUCACAUUUCCCAACAGAACCCAACCAACAGCUUUGGUGCCUGAAGAACUCUGGGUCAUCAAAGAUGGUGCAGAAACAGGAUCAGAGGCCGGGGAGACCCAACAAAGACCUCAGUGAACUGGAGAACUCAACAAGCCCUGGGGACAUGGAGAUGCCGAUUUGAACAAAGGAGACGAUGGGUAUGAUCUCUGAACUCUGGUUUGGUGAUUCAAGAAACAAGAGAACCUCUGAGUCCAACUCCUCCUACUCCCAAGCAGGAAGGUGGGAGCAUACACGGUCUGCU